GAUGAACGCUGGCGGCGUGCCUAAUACAUGCAAGUCGAGCGAACAGACGAGGAGCUUGCUCCUCUGACGUUAGCGGCGGACGGGUGAGUAACACGUGGAUAACCUACCUAUAAGACUGGGAUAACUUCGGGAAACCGGAGCUAAUACCGGAUAAUAUAUUGAACCGCAUGGUUCAAUAGUUAAAGACGGUUUUGCUGUCUCUUAUAGAUGGAUCCGCGCCGCAUUAGCUAGUUGGUAAGGUAACGGCUUACCAAGGCAACGAUGCGUAGCCGACCUGAGAGGGUGAUCGGACAAACGGGAAAUGAGAAACGGACCAGACACCUACGGGAGGCAGCAGUAGGGAAUAUUCCGCAAUGGGCGAAAGCAUGACGGAGCAACGCCGCGUGAGUGAUGAAGGUCUUCGGAUCGUAAAACUCUGUUAUUAGGGAAGAACAAAUGUGUAAGUAACUAUGCACGUCUUGACGGUACCUAAUCAGAAAGCCACGGCUAACUACGUG
rnacentral:rRNA from 1 species